rnacentral:rRNA from 1 species
AAACCGGAGGAAGGUGGGGAUGACGUCAAAUCAUCAUGCCCCUUAUGACCUGGGCUACACACGCGCUCCAAUGGAUGGUACACCGAGUUCCGAACUCGCGCGACUAAGCUAAUCUCUUAAAGCCAUUCUCAGUUCGGAUUGUAGGCUGCAACUCGCCUACAUGAAGUCGGAAUCGCUAGUAAUCGCGGAUCAGCAUGCCGCGGUGAAUACGUUCCCGGGCCUUGUACACACCGCCCGUCACACCAUGAGAGUUUGUAACACCCAAAGUCGGUGGG